rnacentral:rRNA from 1 species
AUGCCACGCUGGGAGGCACCAGGAGGAGGAGGAGAGGUCGUGACCGACGGCGGAGGAGUGGCCGCGGCGGUGGAUGAAAGUUUGUGUCGCGUGGCGGCGUCGUGGACAUCGGCGCCGACUCCUGCACCUUCGGCUCGCCUUCCUCACCUUGCCGCCGCACCAUCGGCUCCUCCCUCUCGGCCUCCUCUUUCCCCACCCCUCUUUGUUGUACACGGCGGCAGGAGGGUCGCAUCUAAGAGUAGCUUCUCUGAUUCAUGUGAUUGUGUUUUCUUAGUUCAUUUUGCGCUAAUCCGUUGCUCGUCGCCUGUUCGUUUUUAUGCUGCAUCGUUGUAUGACUGUGUAUGCAUCUUGUAUUGCUGGUCUGAUUUUCCCCUUUUGACAACUCUCAUUAAAUCAUUCAACUACUGA